CAUUCUGCCCUUUUCGAUGCUCCUUUUCUCUUCUCAUUUAAGUACCAGGAGGAGCUCUUCUUUCUGAGGGUGAACAAGAUCACCUGAUUCCUCCACCUCGCGGUGCCUUUUGGAGAGUGACUUCUUUGUUGCUGCUGGCUGAAUGAUUGCUCAUUCAUUCCUCCAUGAUGGGCCGGGCCUUGGAGGACUCAGCCCAGCUGUUCUGCAUGUGCUCUUUGGUGGAAGCCCAGAAGAAGUCAUGAUGAACAUAUCAAGGACUGUGCUGACCUCGAUAUCCGCAAGACAGUCAAAGUGCUGGAGGGUACAGAAGAAUUGUCAUCUGAAGGAAAGAACAAUACCAAUGAGUUGUCACUGUCUUGGGAUUUGCCUCAAGUCACACAUGAGAACAGAAGAUGCUGCUGGACAAGCUGAUGCUCCACGCAAUGUUGGAACUUGGAAGAAGCUCAAGACGGGUUAAACAGUUACGAAGGGGCUUAAAAGAGACGCUGAUCUGGCCUUUGCUAACUGAGAGGAGAGACACAAUUCCCCUCCUCUUUCCAAGAGCAUGUGAUGUACAGCGCACACCACAGAGCACAACUUGUUGAAUUCAGCCCUUCACCCUU
ensembl:lncRNA